ensembl:lncRNA
UUGCAUAUCACUCACGUUUGUCUUGCUGCUUCCCCUCUAAGCACUUUACAUCUCUCUGGCUGUAUUCCCAAGCUGCAUCUCACAGCUCUGCCUUGCUCACCAGAGUCCUCGCAUUACCUUUACAUAGGGCAAUUCAUGGUGUUGCCAUGCUUGUGUGUCACAUUUUACUGUUGCACCCUGUGUUAUGGAUACCUGGGCCUGGUCUCACCCUGCCUCUGCUCAGACUCUGAGUGGAGCUACCAACAUCAGAAGUACGCUCACACUGGGAUCCUUGUGCAGUCAAUGCAGGGAGAUGAAGAUUGUGCUUGAAAUCUCUUGCCUGUCCAUAAAGCCUCUGAGCAAAAGCCUGGAGAAGGGACUUCCACUUUCCUCAACCAUAACAUUGAUGUAUUGGACGGCUUCUCUCAAGUCUCCUUGGAACCUUCUCCUCUCAAGGCUGAACAACCCCAACUCUUUCAGAUUAUCUUCACAGGAGAGAUGCUGCAGCUUUCUGAGCAUCUUCAUGGCACCUCUCUGGACUCACUCUAACAGGUUCACAUCAUUUUGCACCUCCAUUGCUGAAUGCAGUACUGCAGGUGGGACCUCAUAUGGGCAGAGCAGGGGAGAAUCAUCAUCUCCUUCGCCCUGCUAGAUACACUUAUUUUGAUGCAGACCAGUAUUUGGUUGGCUUGGCUUUGAAUCCUUUGUAAUUUUUUACCCCUCUGAAAUUGUCUAAGUCUACAUCUCUGUUCUUAAUCCAAAUAUACUUCAACUCCCAUCUUGCUACUACUAUGACACAAAAAAGUAACAUAUAAAAGUUGCACCCAUUAGGGGCUUGAGGUCUUUUUCAGGUUGGUAUUAUGCUGCUCUUUAGGUUCCUAAAACCCCGCUUUUCUGAUAGAGUUUUCUUUGUAAUUAUUUAAGAGCACCUUAAUGUCAUGAGGCUUUUCCUUGAUGCUGAAGUCUGCAGCUAAAAUGUCAUAGCUCUAUAUUUUUCACCUUUUUUUCUCAAUUCCAUUAUAAUUUCACAAUUUCAUGAUUUACAUUAUACUCAGUAAGAUGUCUUUGCCUUGGUUUCAUUCAGUUUUCUUAAGACAGGAAUCUGCUAUCUGUCAAUGUGCUUUUUUUUUUUUUUUUUUUUUUUUUUUUUCUCCUUUCUGUUUUAUUUUCAUUUGCCAAAAUGCCCCAAAAGAAUCAUUUUGUCAUUUGACACCCUGCUUAGAGGCAAGACAGAAAAGAAAGCACUUCAAGGCCACAUGAUCACAUGAUUGUGUGCCCCAGUGGCGCAGUGGUAGGAAUGCCGCCUUGCAACACUGGGGCCUGGGGUUCGAAUUCCCCCCGUGGCGCAAGUGGUAGAAGUGCCGCUCUGCAGCACAGAGGCUCGAAUCCCGGGGGUUGGACUCGAUGAUCUCUAAGGUCCCUUCCAACCCGCACGAGACUAUGAAAUUAUGAUCACUUUAUCCUCCUAAGUCAGGCUGGACAACAGGCAGAGCUUAGUAGGAAAAAAUCACAGCACUAAGAGCACUUUGCUCACAAAGUUAGGUGUUGUAUCUGCAGUAGCAGUGCUGUCACUGCCUUUGAACACCUUGCCCUCUCUCAAAGAGCACAUCUCAAAGGCAGUUCUCGAAGUCUCUACACCAACACUGCACAAAACUUGAGAACAUAAAAUCUCCUCACCUUUUCACCCUCUCUUGACUUGGAGAUACGAGGACCAUCAAGCAGUCAUUUCAUUGCUAGCUGUAGGUUUUACACUGCUGCCAAUUUCAUUGAGAGAGCUACUGCAAACACUCUCUCUGGCCAUUUUGGUUAAUAAAAGCUCCAGAGGCCUUCCUCCA